rnacentral:rRNA from 1 species
GGGUGCGAGCGUUAAUCGGAAUUACUGGGCGUAAAGCGGGCGCAGACGGUUACUUAAGCAGGAUGUGAAAUCCCCGGGCUCAACCCGGGAACUGCGUUCUGAACUGGGUGACUCGAGUGUGUCAGAGGGAGGUGGAAUUCCACGUGUAGCAGUGAAAUGCGUAGAGAUGUGGAGGAAUACCGAUGGCGAAGGCAGCCUCCUGGGAUAACACUGACGUUCAUGUCCGAAAGCGUGGGUAGCAAACAGGAUUAGAUACCCUGGUAGUCCACGCCCUAAACGAUGUCAAUUAGCUGUUGGGCAACUUGAUUGCUUGGUAGCGUAGCUAACGCGUGAAAUUGACCGCCUGGGGAGUACGGUCGCAAGAUUAAAACUCAAAGGAAUUGACGGGGACCCGCACAAGCGGUGGAUGAUGUGGAUUAAUUCGAUGCAACGCGAAGAACCUUACCUGGUUUUGACAUGUGCGGAAUCCUCCGGAGACGGAGGAGUGCCUUCGGGAGCCGUAACACAGGUGCUGCAUGGCUGUCGUCAGCUCGUGUCGUGAGAUGUUGGGUUAAGUCCCGCAACGAGCGCAACCCUUGUCAUUAGUUGCCAUCAUUCGGUUGGGCACUCUAAUGAGACUGCCGGUGACAAGCCGGAGGAAGGUGGGGAUGACGUCAAGUCCUCAUGGCCCUUAUGACCAGGGCUUCACACGUCAUACAAUGGUCGGUACAGAGGGUAGCCAAGCCGCGAGGCGGAGCCAAUCUCACAAAACCGAUCGUAGUCCGGAUUGCACUCUGCAACUCGAGUGCAUGAAGUCGGAAUCGCUAGUAAUCGCAGGUCAGCAUACUGCGGUGAAUACGUUCCCGGGUCUUGUACACACCGCCCGUCACACCAUGGGAGUGGGGGAUACCAGAAGUAGGUAGGGUAACCGCAAGGAGUCCGCUUACCACGGUAUGCUUCAUGACUGGGGUGAAGUCGUAACAAGGUAGCCGUAGGGGAACCUGCGGCUGGAUCACCUCCUUUCUAGAG